ACGAACGCUGGCGGCGUGCUUAACCCAUGCAAGUCGAACGGAAAGGCCCUGCUUUUGUGGGGUGCUCGAGUGGCGAACGGGUGAGUAACACGUGAGUAACCUGCCCUUGACUUUGGGAUAACUUCAGGAAACUGGGGCUAAUACCGGAUAGGAGCUCCUGCUGCAUGGUGGGGGUUGGAAAGUUUCGGCGGUUGGGGAUGGACUCGCGGCUUAUCAGCUUGUUGGUGGGGUAGUGGCUUACCAAGGCUUUGACGGGCAGCCGGCCUGAGAGGGUGACCGGCCACAUUGGGACUGAGAUACGGCCCAGACUCCUACGGGAGGCAGCAGUGGGGAAUAUUGCACAAUGGGCGGAAGCCUGAUGCAGCAACGCCGCGUGCGGGAUGACGGCCUUCGGGUUGUAAACCGCUUUCGCCUGUGACGAAGCGUGAGUGACGGUAAUGGGUAAAGAAGCACCGGCUAACUACGUG
rnacentral:rRNA from 1 species